rnacentral:lncRNA from 1 species
AAUGGACACAAGAAAAAGAGACAGAAGGGGAUCUAGAUGUCCCAGUGAGGUGGGGGACCAUAGUGGAGAUCUCAUAGGGAAUUGGUCCAUGUGCUGAAUGACAGAUACUUCACUGUGGCUAUUCAGUGGGCAAUAAAUAUAUAAGAAUCUGAGACCUGAUGUAAAUCUGUGUGAUUUUUGGUGCCAUUUGCAAUCCUGAUUUCUCCUUUUCAGUCCCCAGAUCACCAGGACAUGGGGUGUGUGAGCAGAGGUGUAAGGCUUAUAAACAGUGUCAUGAAGAUCAUUCACCCUCCAUUAAGCAAUUCAGGAUUUCUUGAGGAAAAUUAAGCCCAUGACCAUGUGGCUUUUUACCAUGUUGCUUAUUGCAUCCAGCCAUGGAGGAGAGAGGGGUCCGUAUCACCCCUGAGCUCCCACCUCCUGCUCCUGUAAUGCCAUCGUCUCUUCAGCUGCCUGCCUCCUGCCUUCAGCAGUGUUCAUACAGAGGAAAGGAGCUGAGUGGCCUGAAGAAUCCUGACUCACACGCUUUUUAAAGUGUCAGUGUCAGCAUGUCAUUUUCUAGCCCUGAAAAGAUGCUUAAGAAAUGCAAUCUUCACUGGGCUUUUUG